AAAUUGAAGAGUUUGAUCAUGGCUCAGAUUGAACGCUGGCGGCAGGCCUAACACAUGCAAGUCGAACGGUAACAGGAAGCAGCUUGCUGCUUCGCUGACGAGUGGCGGACGGGUGAGUAAUGUCUGGGAAACUGCCUGAUGGAGGGGGAUAACUACUGGAAACGGUAGCUAAUACCGCAUAAUGUCGCAAGACCAAAGAGGGGGACCUUCGGGCCUCUUGCCAUCGGAUGUGCCCAGAUGGGAUUAGCUUGUUGGUGGGGUAACGGCUCACCAAGGCGACGAUCCCUAGCUGGUCUGAGAGGAUGACCAGCCACACUGGAACUGAGACACGGUCCAGACUCCUACGGGAGGCAGCAGUGGGGAAUAUUGCACAAUGGGCGCAAGCCUGAUGCAGCCAUGCCGCGUGUAUGAAGAAGGCCUUCGGGUUGUAAAGUACUUUCAGCGGGGAGGAAGGGAGUAAAGUUAAUACCUUUGCUCAUUGACGUUACCCGCAGAAGAAGCACCGGCUAACUCCGUGCCAGCAGCCGCGGUAAUACGGAGGGUGCAAGCGUUAAUCGGAAUUACUGGGCGUAAAGCGCACGCAGGCGGUUUGUUAAGUCAGAUGUGAAAUCCCCGGGCUCAACCUGGGAACUGCAUCUGAUACUGGCAAGCUUGAGUCUCGUAGAGGGGGGGUAGAAUUCCAGGUGUAGCGGUGAAAUGCGUAGAGAUCUGGAGGAAUACCGGUGGCGAAGGCGGCCCCCCUGGACGAAGACUGACGCUCAGGUGCGAAAGCGUGGGGAGCAAACAGGAUUAGAUACCCUGGUAGUCCACGCCGUAAACGAUGUCGACUUGGAGGUUGUGCCCUUGAGGCGUGGCUUCCGGAGCUAACGCGUUAAGUCGACCGCCUGGGGAGUACGGCCGCAAGGUUAAAACUCAAAUGAAUUGACGGGGGCCCGCACAAGCGGUGGAGCAUGUGGUUUAAUUCGAUGCAACGCGAAGAACCUUACCUGGUCUUGACAUCCACAGAACUUUCCAGAGAUGGAUUGGUGCCUUCGGGAACUGUGAGACAGGUGCUGCAUGGCUGUCGUCAGCUCGUGUUGUGAAAUGUUGGGUUAAGUCCCGCAACGAGCGCAACCCUUAUCCUUUGUUGCCAGCGGUCCGGCCGGGAACUCAAAGGAGACUGCCAGUGAUAAACUGGAGGAAGGUGGGGAUGACGUCAAGUCAUCAUGGCCCUUACGACCAGGGCUACACACGUGCUACAAUGGCGCAUACAAAGAGAAGCGACCUCGCGAGAGCAAGCGGACCUCAUAAAAGUGCGUCGUAGUCCGGAUUGGAGUCUGCAACUCGACUCCAUGAAGUCGGAAUCGCUAGUAAUCGUGGAUCAGAAUGCCACGGUGAAUACGUUCCCGGGCCUUGUACACACCGCCCGUCACACCAUGGGAGUGGGUUGCAAAAGAAGUAGGUAGCUUAACCUUCGGGAGGGCGCUUACCACUUUGUGAUUCAUGACUGGGGUGAAGUCGUAACAAGGUAACCGUAGGGGAACCUGCGGUUGGAUCACCUCCUUA
rnacentral:rRNA from 1 species